rnacentral:snoRNA from 1 species
ACUUGGCAUAUGACGACUCUAUUAACAAAAGUCUGAUUUUUUUUCUUUGAUACUACAUCACCUUGGAGAACUGAUGCGAAAU